AACGAACGCUGGUGGCAGGCUUAACACAUGCAAGUCGAGCGCCCCGCAAGGGGAGCGGCAGACGGGUGAGUAACGCGUGGGAAUCUACCCAUCUCUACGGAAUAACGCAUGGAAACGUGUGCUAAUACCGUAUACGUCCUUCGGGAGAAAGAUUUAUCGGAGAUGGAUGAGCCCGCGUGGGGUUAGCUAGUUGGUGGGGUAAAGGCCUACCAAGGCGACGAUCCAUAGCUGGUCUGAGAGGAUGAUCAGCCACACUGGGACAGAGACCCGGCCCAGACUCCUACGGGAUGCAGCAGUGGGGAAUAUUGGACAAUGGGGGCAAGCCUGAUCCAGCCAUGCCGCGUGAGUGAUGAAGGCCCUAGGGUUGUAAAGCUCUUUCACCGGUGAAGAUAAUGACGGUAACCGGAGAAGAAGCCCCGGCUAACUUCGUGCCAGCCGCCGCCGUAAAAC
rnacentral:rRNA from 1 species